GUCCUUUUGAUUAUAAUUUAAGGUCUAGCCUGCUCGCUGAGGGUUUAAAGGGCCGCAGUAUUUUGACUGUGCGAAGGUAGCAUAAUAAUUAGUUUUUUAAUUGAAAGCUGGAAUGAAUGGUUGAACGAGGGAAUAACUGUCUCUAUAUUAUUUGAUUAGAAUUUUAUAUUUAAGUUAAAAAGCUUAAAUUUUUUUAAAAGACGAGAAGACCCUAUAGAGUUUAAUAUAACUUGUUUUUAGUGAUUUUUAGGAUUAUUUUUUAUUGAUUAUAGGUUUUAUUUUGUUGGGGUGAUAGAAAAAUUUAAAUAACUUUUUUUUUAUAAAGUCAUUGAUGUAUGAAUGAUUGAUCCAAUUAUUUUGAUUAUAAGAUUAAAUUACCUUAGGGAUAACAGCGUAAUUUUUUUUAAGAGUUCUAAUCGAAAAAAAAGGUUGCGACCUCGAUGUUGGAUUAAAAUUUAUUCUUGGUGUAGGAGCUAAGUAAUUAGGUCUGUUCGACCUUUAAAAUUUU
rnacentral:rRNA from 1 species